UACGGAGGGUGCAAGCGUUAUCCGGAUUCACUGGGUUUAAAGGGAGCGUAGGUGGGCAGGUAAGUCAGUGGUGAAAUCUCCGGGCUUAACCCGGAAACUGCCAUUGAUACUAUUUGUCUUGAAUUAUCUGGAGGUAAGCGGAAUAUGUCAUGUAGCGGUGAAAUGCUUAGAUAUGACAUAGAACACCCAUUGCGAAGGCAGCUUACUACGGAUAUAUUGACACUGAGGCUCGAAAGCGUGGGGAUCAAACAGG
rnacentral:rRNA from 1 species